rnacentral:rRNA from 1 species
GACGAACGCUGGCGGCGUGCUUAACACAUGCAAGUCGAACGGAAAGGCCCUGCUUUUGUGGGGUGCUCGAGUGGCGAACGGGUGAGUAACACGUGAGUAACCUGCCCCUGACUUUGGGAUAACUUCAGGAAACUGGGGCUAAUAUCGGAUAGGAGCUCCUGCUGCAUGGUGGGGGUUGUAAAGUUGCGGCGGUUGGGGAUGGACUCGCGGCUUAUCAGCUUGUUGGUGGGGUAGUGGCUUACCAAGGCGUUGACGGGUAGCCGGCCUGAGAGGGUGACCGGCCACAUUGGGACUGGGAUACGGCCCAGACUCCUACGGGAGGCAGCAGUGGGGGAUAUUGCACGAUGGGCGGAGGCCUGAUGCAGCAACGCCGCGUGCUGGAUGACGGCCUUCGGGUUGUAACCCGCUUUCGCCUGUGACGAAGCGUGAGUGACGGUAAUGGGUAAAGAAGCACCGGCUAACUACGUG